GCCUCCUUAGCUCAGCAGGUAGAGCGCAACACUUGUAAUGUUGAUGUCGUUGGUUCGAUUCCGACAGGAGGCU
rnacentral:tRNA from 1 species